GUAUAAGAGACAGCAGCAGCCGCGGUAAUACGGAGGGUGCAAGCGUUAAUCGGAAUUACUGGGCGUAAAGCGCACGCAGGCGGUCUGACAAGUCAGAUGUGAAAUCCCCGGGCUUAACCUGGGAACUGCAUUUGAAACUGUCAGGCUGGAGUCUUGUAGAGGGGGGUAGAAUUCCAGGUGUAGCGGUGAAAUGCGUAGAGAUCUGGAGGAAUACCGGUGGCGAAGGCGGCCCCCUGGACAAAGACUGACGCUCAGGUGCGAAAGCGUGGGGAGCAAACAGGAUUAGAUACCCGCGUAGUCCCUGUCUCUUAUAC
rnacentral:rRNA from 1 species